GAUGAACGCUGGCGGUGUGCCUAAUACAUGCAAGUCGAGCGAAUGGAUUAAGAGCUUGCUCUUAUGAAGUUAGCGGCGGACGGGUGAGUAACACGUGGGUAACCUGCCCAUAAGACUGGGAUAACUCCGGGAAACCGGGGCUAAUACCGGAUAACAUUUUGAACCGCAUGGUUCGAAAUUGAAAGGCGGCUUCGGCUGUCACUUAUGGAUGGACCCGCGUCGCAUUAGCUAGUUGGUGAGGUAACGGCUCACCAAGGCAACGAUGCGUAGCCGACCUGAGAGGGUGAUCGGCCACACUGGGACUGAGAAACGGCCCAGAAUCCUACGGGAGGCAGCAGUAGGGAAUCUUCCGCAAUGGACGAAAGUCUGGCGGAGCAACGCCGCGUGAGUGAUGAAGGCUUUCGGGUCGUAAAACUCUGUUGUUAGGGAAGAACAAGUGCUAGUUGAAUAAGCUGACACCUUGACGGUACCUAACCAGAAAGCCACGGCUAACUACGUGCCAGCAGCCGCCGCAG
rnacentral:rRNA from 1 species